UCUUCCUCAUCAAUUCACCUUCUUCUACAGAUUCAAUUCACACACCCAACAACAUGGUGCUCACAUCUUCUGCACGCGAUCAAUAUUCAAUUCAUACACACAACAACAUGGUGCUCACAUCGUCUGUGCGCAGGGUGAUGCUCGCGGUGAUUGGUUUCGCUUUCUGAUGACCCUUCACAGUGGUCGGGUUUAUGGAUAUUAUCUGGGCUGCAGAGUAAGGAACUGACAAAACACUUGCAUUUGGUUUGCCCAUUUUGCAACGUCGGAGGAGCGUGAGAAGGCUGCAAAUAUAGUCGGUGUUAGAUCGGUUUGCCGAUUUUGCAGAGGUAACAUAUUGUCAAUGGAUGAAUGAACUCCAACUUCUCUUCAUGAUAGUGUCCUUCUUUUCUAUAACCUUCAAGAAUGGGGGCAUGCUGAUAUUUGGCAUACAGGGCAAUUGACUUCUUGUGAUUAUAUUUAGUUGUUUAUAGUUUGGUCAAAUGCUAUCUGUUACAUGAACCUUUCAACUAUUGAUUCUGAAAUAGUCUCUUGAAUCGGUUGAAAGGAAAAAAUUUAUAUGGAGUUUCAACAUGAGGUUUUUUGUGCAGGUUUAGAAUUGGACACAAAUUGGUUUAUGUGCAGUGAUUCAUGUUUUUCUUUUUGAUUUUUUAUACUAAUUUGGCUCAUAUACUAUUUCUCGAUCGCUGUA